CCUACGGGAGGCUGCAGUGAGGAAUAUUGGUCAAUGGGCGCAAGCCUGAACCAGCCAAGUCGCGUGAGGGAUGACGGUCCUAUGGAUUGUAAACCUCUUUUGUCGGGGAGCAAGGCCCGCCACGUGUGGCGGGAAGGAGAGUACCCGAAGAACAAGCAUCGGCUAACUCCGUGCCAGCAGCCGCGGUACUACGGAGGAUGCGAGCGUUAUCCGGAUUUAUUGGGUUUAAAGGGUGCGUAGGCGGAAGGUUAAGUCAGCGGUCAAAUGUCGGUGCUCAACACCGGACUGCCGUUGAAACUGGUCGUCUUGAGUGAGCGAGAAGUAUGUGGAAUGCGUGGUGUAGCGGUGAAAUGCAUAGAUAUCACGCAGAACUACGAUUGCGAAGGCAGCAUACCGGCGCUCAACUGACGCUGAGGCACGAAAGCGUGGGGAUCGAACAGGAUUAGAUACCCUAGUAGUC
rnacentral:rRNA from 1 species